UUUCAAUCUUCACUUCACUCUCUCUCUUUCUUUCGAUCCAAUCCAGGGUUAAGGUUAAAGGUAUUUAGAGUCAUGAAGUUCAGGGAAGGGAAUAUAGUGGAGCUGUUGAGAACAAAACUGGACCCAUGUGGCUCUUGGUUUACUGG